CAGAAUCGUGGAUGGAUAGUAUAUGUGUUGUAAAUGAUUAUGUUAACUAUUUUCUGAUAAAAAAAAAAAUUCCCUAACCCAUCUGCUGUACUUUCUAAUUUUGUGCCGUGAUUCCGACAGAAUUUACACCUUCUCUUCAAAGGACUCUUCCUCAAGAUCUCCAGCAAUUCCUGGAGUCCCUCGGAUACUAUUUCCGCCUCUUGCUAUUCAAGCUCAAGGAGUUGUAUGGUUACCCUUCAUUUCUGGCUUGUCAGGAUCAUCCUUUGUUGUUCCUUCAAUUGUGCUACACCUCUGCCAAGAUUCAACUGCAAGUUGUACGCUUGAAAAGACAGGACUUCCUGUUGUCCUCCAGCCCCUACUUUACAGGUUAAACAAAGACAAGCAAACAGAAAGGAUUUCAGCUUCCACAAAACCAAGGACAGAAUCCACUUCUGGGAUAGCAGAAGGUCUUUCCAGCCUCUGAAGCAGUCAGGAAGGAAAGGUACAUUUCAGAAUUCAGGGUCUUGAGCAUGUGAGGAUUGGACACUUCCCAGGGUUUACUGCUACCAGUUUGGAAGAUCCUGCCUUUAGAAGAUCAUGCUUUGUGACUGAGAAUGUGGGAAAACCAUCUCUAAAUAAGAGAGUAUCUUGAUGAGUCCCUUGAAUCCCAACCAAGUCCAACAAUUCAAAAUUGUGUGUUUUACAACCUGUUUCUGCUGAAGAAUCUACACAGUGGUUCCUUGUUGCCCUCACCACUAGGAACAAAAUCCUUGUUCUCAUUCCCACUGAAGUUAGUGGAGGCUUGGAUAGCCUGAGAGUAAAUUUUUUAUAAAUCCUGGCUUGUAUGCUCCCAUUGCAAUUAGUGAGGAUUAGGAUGCUAUACUAGCUUUCUGUUGGUAGAGAGAAAGUAACCUUAGUUCCUUUGGCUAAUUUGUGACAAAGAAGCAUUCUUGGCUUUAACCAAUGAAAUCAUGCUCAUUUGUAAAUGGAUUAGUGCAGAAUUUGCCUAGCUUUUUCCCCUUCCUACUUCAACUAUACUUGCUAUGGGUUUUAAAAAAAUGCAUGAGAACUAUUUUAUUCCUACUUUUUCAUACUAAAAAGUUAUUGUGGGAAUUUCUCUUAUUCCAGUUAUCAAUACACUAAUGUGCACACACAGACACCCAUACACACAUGCAAUCUUUUAAUGCUAUCUAGUUAGACAACUAGUCUUACUCUGAAUCCUGUAAAUAUAUGGGCUUUUAAAUCUGGAUCUGAUAUCAUUGCUCUGUAAUUCCAGUUGAUAGGAAUAGACAAUGGCUUAUGUGGCCUUCAUAACAAGUUUAAAGUCAGCCUGUGCAAGUUAACAAGAUCCUGUCUCAAUUUAUAUGAACAGAUAAAUUAAACGCAGUGACGGAGUGUAUGCCUAGCAUGUACAAGACCCUAGGUUCAACCUCUGGUAUUGCACAAAGCAAACAAACCCACUAGUAGAAAGCAGCCUUAUAGAUCAGUAGGAAUUGAUAGAAAAAUAAUAAGAGAUGAAGGUACAGGUCAAGGAUAGAACACUUACCUAGCAUGGACAAGGCCCUGAUUCAACCUUUAUAACACGAAUUCCUAAGUGAUCUUAAUAAUAAUAAUAAAAAAAACCCAGAGCCAGAUAGUAGGAUAAAUGCUGAAAGAUCAGAGAGACAAAGGAACAAGCCACUGCCACGUCUCACCUCUAGGACCCCUUAGCCUGAAAAGCCUCAACCAAUAGACCUCCAGCUGAAUGAGCUUCCCCAGCUGAAAAGGUUUCAGCCAAAAAAGCCUCUAGCUGAAAGGAACGUUUCUGCUGAAAAGCCUUUAAUUCCUGUCUCCUUACGACUUAUAUAUCUUUCUCUGCCCAGCCAUCACUUCCUGGAAUUAAAGGCAUGUGUGCUUCCCAGUACUGGGAUUCAAGGCGUGUGCCACCACUGCAUGGCUCUGCUUCUUGCCUAGACUGAAUCAAUCUCAUGUAGUCCAGGGCAGCUUUGAACUCAUAGAGAUCCAGACAGAUCUCUGCCUCCCAAGUGCUAGGAUUAAAGCUGUGUGCCACCACUUCCUGGCAUCUAUGUUUAAUCUUGUGGCUUAUUUUAUUAGGGUCUUCAGGCAAAUUUUAUUAGGGUACACAAUAUAUGACCACAAACCUUCAGCAACACACACACACACACACACACACACACACACACACACACACACACUCAAGACUUAGACAACUUACUUUUGUACUAGCCAAUAUUAAUAUAUGCCACAUAUAGCAAACUGAGAAUGACAUAGACUUUUGAUACCACAAAGUCCAAACCCAGAAACACACUUCCAGUGACAAAGCUCUGUCUCUCUAAUCUAUCCAAUCAUUUCCACCAACUGGGGCCUAAAUAUUCAAAUAAUCAGCCUAUGGGAGGCAUUGUCAUUCAAACCAUCACAGAUACAUAUGCAUGUAUAUAUCCAUAUUCUUAGAGAAUUUAUAGUGUGAAUUCCUGUGUUUUUUUUUUAAGACAGGGUAUCAUGUUUUCCAGGUUGCCCUUGAACUAAUCUAUAGCCAAGAAUGACCUUGAACUUCUUAUCCUCUUCCAUUUACCUUCAGGGUGCUGUGUUCACAGACCUGUGCCAUCAGGCCUGGUUAAUGUGGUAUUGGCAAGCUCUCUAUCAAAUGAGCUAUAUCCUUAGCCUUACACUUUCUGAAUUCUUCAGCAACACUGCUCCUAUCCCUCUUUAAGUGGUUCCACCAUUAGAUGGGAUUAAAACUGAUGGAUCACUUCAUAAAUUUCUCCACUUUUAUAAAAUUAUCUAGUAAUUAAUUUUAGCAGCACCAUGUUUCACAAUUGUCGGGCCCACAAUUCCUGUGCUAGUCUGUGUGAAAAGCAUCUCCUGGAAUUUUGCAAUGCAGAAAUUUCUGUAGCAGAAACAAUUGGCUGUCUAUCUCAGACCCAUUACUAGCUUUUUCCUUUGUGGUAGGGCCACUGACUUAUUUGGAAAGCCCACUCUCUUCCUCAUGAAUAGAACUCACUAAGCCAAACAUAACACACAGUUGUUUGUCUUUGCUGGUGAUUGGUUUUAGGGUGGACAUAUGACAAAGGUCUGGCAUAAGGGAAGGUCUCUGGCAACCUCACUGAUAAAUAAAAAGACAUGUCUGCUUUCUUAUGCCAGCCAUUGUCAUGUGCAGAGAUGUGAUCCAUGAAGCUGGGGAGAGUUUGUGCCUAUAAAGAGAGAAGCCUGAGGGCAGGCUACAGUUAGUGGCCAUGUGGCAUGGCAAAUCUGUGAUGAAAUACCACAGCUUUCUGGUCUACAACACACAAUGACAGAAUGACAACUCAGAACACUUAAAGUCAGGGACUCUCCAGCCAGAAGACAGCCAGAGCGUGAGUUCUCCGGUAUCUCCCCACGCACUCUGGACAGUUUUCUGGCUGAGCACUGAGACACGUAUGUGGGGAGAAGACCUCAGCUGCAGAAAAGGACUGAGAUGAGAUCUGAGCUAAUGCAAAGCUGAUGGUGGGGGUUCAGUCAAAUUAACCAGACAGAGGACGACAAUAGAAUACAACGUGCCACUUACAAGGUCCAGAAUGUGGUUGAAAUUCUCUGAACAUAGAGAGAAUAAGAAAAGGGUAGCAGUCAACAUACACCAGCAUCAAUAUGUCCCCAUUAUCAUAGUGAGCAUUGGGAGACUUAAAGAAGCUGGGCUCAGUGAGAUAUACGAAGGUAAAGGAAAAUGUGUUCAUACUGUCUUCAUAGCAGGGACGGAACUAAUCAAAAGGAAGACAAACUAACAUUAAAAAAAUACAGUGUUCUAAAAUUUUUUUACUUAAUAGAAUGAAGAGCUCAAAGGAGUCUAUAAACUGAACUUAACUCAAUGGUAGUUGUAUAUCUUAAAAAUAGAGAUAAUAAGGUUUUGAUAAUAAAAAGAAACUUAAAGACCUGUGGCAUAGUUGUAUGCUUCAUAAUGUCCAAGAGGAAAAAAUGCCAGCCUGUGGCAAUAGCAAGAAGAACUGGCCAAAAUUUACCUAACAAGGUGAUAGACAAAAUUUAUAGACAUGUAUAAGUGUAAUGACUCCUAAACUUGUGUAAAUAACCGUCCUACAUCUCUGAAAGCAAUCCAAGUUGCUGUAGGAAAUUUCACCAAAAGAAAACUGUGGUUCCCAUUUGUGUCACUGGUGAAUUCUAAUGUUGAUGAAGAAAAGACCCCAGUGUUGUGUAUUUCAAUAGGAAGAAGUUGAAGAUUUCCAAUUUAUGUUAUGGAAUGAAGAGAAAAUGUGAAAAAGACAUUGAAAAUAUUAAACACAAUAUUAAAGCAUUAAAGACCAAUAUCUUUUCUGAGAACAAAAUAGCUCAAGAAUUGCCUUAUGAAGCCAAAACAAUAUAUUAAAAAAUCACAUUAAAUCUAUUCAGUCU